rnacentral:rRNA from 1 species
UACGGAGGGUGCAAGCGUUGCUCGGAAUUACUGGGCGUAAAGCGACCGCAGGCGGUUUGUCAGGUCGGAUGUGAAAGCCCGGGGCUCAACCCCGGAACUGCAUUCGAAACCGGCAGACUUGAAUACGGGAGAGGAGGGCGGAAUUCCUGGUGUAGAGGUGAAAUUCGUAGAUAUCAGGAGGAACGUUCGUGGCGAAGGCGGCUCUCUGGCCCGAUAUUGACGCUCAUGGUCGAAAGCGUGGGGAGCGAACAGG